rnacentral:rRNA from 1 species
GACGAACGCUGGCGGCGUGCUUAACACAUGCAAGUCGAACGAGUGGCGGACGGGUGAGUAAUGUCUGGGAAACUGCCUGAUGGAGGGGGAUAACUACUGGAAACGGUAGCUAAUACCGCAUACCAUCGGAUGUGCCCAGAUGGGAUUAGCUUGUUGGUGGGGUAACGGCUCACCAAGGCGACGAUCCCUAGCUGGUCUGAGAGGAUGACCAGCCACACUGGAACUGAGACAGGGUCCGGACUCAUACGGGAGGCAGCAGUGGGGAAUAUUGCGCAAUGGGGGCAACCCAGACGCAGCCAUGCCGCGUGUCUGAAGAAGGCCUUCGGGUUGGAAAGGACUUUUGUUAGGGAAGCGGUACCUAAAGAAUAAGCACCGGCUAACUACGUGCCAGCAGCCGCGGUAAUAC